AUACGUAGGGUGCGAGCGUUAAUCGGAAUUACUGGGCGUAAAGCGUGCGCAGGCGGUUGUGUAAGUCAGAUGUGAAAUCCCCGGGCUCAACCUGGGAACUGCAUUUGAGACUGCACGGCUAGAGUGUGACAGAGGGGGGUAGAAUUCCACGUGUAGCAGUGAAAUGCGUAGAGAUGUGGAGGAAUACCGAUGGCGAAGGCGACUCUCUGGACUGUAACUGACACUGAGGCUCGAAAGCGUGGGGAGC
rnacentral:rRNA from 1 species